rnacentral:rRNA from 2 species
UGCAGUCGAACGAUGAUCUCCAGCUUGCUGGGGGGAUUAGUGGCGAACGGGUGAGUAACACGUGAGUAACCUGCCCUUGACUCUGGGAUAAGCCUGGGAAACUGGGUCUAAUACUGGAUAUGACCUUCCCACGCAUGUGGUGUUGGUGGAAAGCUUUUGUGGUUUUGGAUGGACUCGCGGCCUAUCAGCUUGUUGGUGGGGUAAUGGCCUACCAAGGCGACGACGGGUAGCCGGCCUGAGAGGGUGGACGGCCACACUGGGACUGAGACACGGCCCAGACUCCUACGGGAGGCAGCAGUGGGGAAUAUUGCACAAUGGGCGCAAGCCUGAUGCAGCGACGCCGCGUGAGGGAUGAAGGCCUUCGGGUUGUAAACCUCUUUCAGUAGGGAAGAAGCGAAAGUGACGGUACCUGCAGAAGAAGCGCCGGCUAACUACGUGCCAGCAGCCGCGGUAAUACGUAGGGCGCAAGCGUUAUCCGGAAUUAUUGGGCGUAAAGAGCUCGUAGGCGGUUUGUCGCGUCUGCCGUGAAAGUCCGGGGCUUAACUCCGGAUCUGCGGUGGGUACGGGCAGACUUGAGUGAUGUAGGGGAGACUGGAAUUCCUGGUGUAGCGGUGAAAUGCGCAGAUAUCAGGAGGAACACCGAUGGCGAAGGCAGGUCUCUGGGCAUUAACUGACGCUGAGGAGCGAAAGCAUGGGGAGCGAACAGGAUUAGAUACCCUGGUAGUCCAUGCCGUAAACGUUGGGCACUAGGUGUG